UACGGAGGGGGCUAGCGUUGUUCGGAAUUACUGGGCGUAAAGCGCGCGCAGGCGGCUUUGUAAGUUUGGUGUUUAAGCUCGGAGCUCAACUCCGAUACGCAUCGAAAACUGCAAGGCUUGAGUGCAGAAGAGGAAAGUGGAAUUCCACGUGUAGCGGUGAAAUGCGUAGAUAUCAGGAGGAACACCGGUGGCGAAGGCGGCCCACUGGCUCGACACUGACGCUGAGGUGCGAAAGCGUGGGGAGCAAACAGG
rnacentral:rRNA from 1 species